rnacentral:rRNA from 1 species
AUUUUGGACAAUGGGCGAAAGCCUGAUCCAGCAAUGCCGCGUGAGUGAUGAAGGCCCUAGGGUUGUAAAGCUCUUUUACCAGGGAUGAUAAUGACAGUACCUGGAGAAUAAGCUCCGGCUAACUCCGUGCCAGCAGCCGCGGUAAUACGGAGGGAGCUAGCGUUGUUCGGAUAUACUGGGCGUAAAGCGCACGUAGGCGGCGCCGUAAGUCAGAGGUGAAAGCCCGGGGCUCAACCCCGGAAUUGCCUUUGAAACUGGCGGACUAGAAUCUUGGAGAGGCGAGUGGAAUUCCGAGUGUAGAGGUGAAAUUCGUAGAUAUUCGGAAGAACACCAGUGGCGAAGGCGACUCGCUGGACAAGUAUUGACGCUGAGGUGCGAAAGCGUGGGGAGCAAACAGG